UACGUAGGGUGCAAGCGUUAAUCGGAAUUACUGGGCGUAAAGAGUGCGUAGGCGGUUCUUGGAGUCCGCUGUGAAAGCCCCGGGCUUAACCUGGGAAUGGCAGUGGAAACUGGAGGACUUGAAUUGAGCAGAGGGGGGUGGAAUGCCGCGUGUAGCAGUGAAAUGCGUAGAGAUGCGGCGGAACACCGAUGGCGAAGGCAGGUCUCUGGGCCACUACUGACGCUGAGAAGCGAAAGCAUGGGGAGCGAACAGG
rnacentral:rRNA from 1 species